ensembl:lncRNA
CAAAGAGAUAAAUUUUACUCUUCAUGAGGGUCCUACUGUUUAUACUCCAGACAAAAUUCUUACUUCUCAAAGUUUUCAGAGGAAAAGCAUUUUUCAUAAUGUCAGGAAACGAGCCAUAAGGACCUGGGUCAUACAAAUCUGAAAUUGUUCCUUGCUUCAGACUGAAUACCCUGACAGACUUCCUCUCGGUUGUGACUGACAGCAGCACCUCAUUUUCCCAGCAUAAUAUCCAAACAGGAUUUGAGUGACAAAGUGACUAUGCAUAUCAUUCCACAUUUGAACUGUAAGACUUCAGUAUUUCUACCUCUAGUGUGUAAUUGGAUCAGCUGCCAGUUACAGAAAGGAGCUGGGGAGCCGUCAGAUGAAAGAAUUCUGUCGUCGAGUUUGAGGUGGGAAAAGAAGAGGAGGAGAUGGAGGAGGAGGGUAUUUUUGUUCCUGUCCUUCAUUUCCUGAUAAGGGACACUUUUGAUCCAGGAGAUGUUUUUCUUUCUUUCUCCCUUUCUCCCUCCUUUUUUUUUUUUUUUUCCUCUUUUUUUCCCCCCUUUUUGUUGGUAAUUUGGUAGUAUGAGACGCAGAUGUUUGAAAUAUUUAAGAAGUUCUCUGGUUUUGUGUUCCCAGCCUCAUUGAUGAGAAAGCUUACGCAUCAUGACAUGUUGAGCCGACGCAAUGAUUAAAGGGCUGUUGCAUAUGCUCUCCCCAGCUGAGUUGCUGUUCUCAUGGUUGUUUUUAGAGCACACAGACAGCGCCUGCAGCAGUGGCUAAUAAGGUCUUAUGCGACUCUGCUAACUUCAGGAUCUGAUCACCCCACGAGUGCGGAGUGGAGUGGAGAACCUGGUCUCAGCAGCUUGACAAAAAUACCCUCGGUGUAUUUCAGCUACAGCAGAGGGUUUGUCAUACUGGAAGGAAAUUACAUUGUGUGCAGAGGGUUGAAUGGGAAUGUGGGGUGUGCACAUGGGCAAAGCAGAGACGUGUGCUUUCAAAAAAGCAAAAUGGGAAUUGUACACAUGACUUACACCGGUGUUCGGUGGAAGAGUUACCCUCUGUGCCUUAGAAAUGCUCGCCCUUUAUUUACCAUACUUUAAGCAAGAAAGUGCACGAAGACUAAGUCUGGUUUAAAACAAAUCAUGGCUGGAGUGCUGCUGCUUUCAGAUGCUAACCUGGAGGCACUAGAUGAAAUCACACCACCACACUGCUCCUUUCACUUCAGAGCUGUCCCAACAAAUCAGCUGAUAAUACCUCUUGCUCAGAGUGAUCUAAAAUUAUAGCUUGAACUGGCAAUGGAAUAAUUAGCAGAAGACAUCUAUUACAGAAGAUGGGCUCAGUGGGGAUUAAAAUGAUGAGAACCAGAAUAACAUUCCAGUUUUCAGGAAUUCCAAAUUAUUUUUCCACUCUUUUCCACCUUGAAUACAGUUUUUGCAAAACUAACUGUGGUACCAGUAGGACCUCAGCAAUGAUUCAUCUGGCGACCCUGCACAUAGCAAGGGGGUUGAAGCUCGAUGAUCACUGUGGUCCUUUUCAACCCAGGCCAUUCUAUGGUUCUAUGAUCUGCUUCCAUAAACAUCGUUCUGCUUCUGUGCAGACAUCAGGGUGCAGUACAGGGGAGUCCGCCAGACAGUAGCGUAAGCUGAAAGAAACACAAGCAGAAAGAACAUCUUUUC